UACGUAGGGGGCAAGCGUUAUCCGGAAUUACUGGGUGUAAAGGGAGCGUAGACGGUUAAGUAAGUCUGGAGUGAAAGGCCGGGGCCCAACCCCGGGACUGCUCUGGAAACUAUUGAACUUGAGUGAGCGAGAAGUAUGCGGAAUGCGUGGUGUAGCGGUGAAAUGCAUAGAUAUCACGCAGAACUCCGAUUGCGAAGGCAGCAUACCGGCGCUCAACUGACGCUGAGGCACGAAAGCGUGGGGAUCGAACAGG
rnacentral:rRNA from 1 species